rnacentral:rRNA from 1 species
GUGGGUAGGGGUGAAAGGCCAAUCAAACUCCGUGAUAGCUGGUUCUCCCCGAAAUGCAUUUAGGUGCAGCGUCGCGUGUUUCUCACCGGAGGUAGAGCUACUGGAUGGUCUAGGGGGCCCACAAGCUUACCGAAAUCAGCCAAACUCCGAAUGCCGGUGAGUGAGAGCGCGGCAGUGAGACUGCGGGCGAUAAGGUUCGUAGUCGAGAGGGAAACAGCCCAGAUCGCCAGCUAAGGUCCCUAAGCGUGUACUAAGUGGAAAAGGAUGUGGGGUCGCGAAGACAACCAGGAGGUUGGCUUAGAAGCAGCCACCCUUGAAAGAGUGCGUAAUAGCUCACUGGUCAAGUGAUCCUGCGCCGACAAUGUAGCGGGGCUCAAGUACACCACCGAAGCUGCGGCAUUCACACAAUGCACCCCCUUGAUUCUGCGGAGUCUUGGGCAGUGGUGUGGAUGGGUAGGGGAGCGUCGUGUGGCCAUGGAAGCGGCAGGGUGACCUAGCCGUGGAGGCCACACGAGUGAGAAUGCAGGCAUGAGUAGCGAAAGACGAGUGAGAAACUCGUCCGCCGAAUGACCAAGGGUUCCUGGGCCAGGUUAAUCCGCCCAGGGUGAGUCGGGACCUAAGACG